AGUGAACGCUGGCGGUAGGCCUAACACAUGCAAGUCGAACGGCAGCACAGUAAGAGCUUGCUCUUACGGGUGGCGAGUGGCGGACGGGUGAGGAAUACAUCGGAAUCUACUUUUUCGUGGGGGAUAACGUAGGGAAACUUACGCUAAUACCGCAUACGACCUACGGGUGAAAGCAGUGGAUCUUCGGACCUUGCGCGAUUGAAUGAGCCGAUGUCGGAUUAGCUAGUUGGCGGGGUAAAGGCCCACCAAGGCGACGAUCCGUAGCUGGUCUGAGAGGAUGAUCAGCCACACUGGAACUGAGACACGGUCCAGACUCCUACGGGAGGCAGCAGUGGGGAAUAUUGGACAAUGGGCGCAAGCCUGAUCCAGCCAUACCGAGUGGGUGAAGAAGGCCUUCGGGUUGUAAAGCCCUUUUGUUGGGAAAGAAAAGCAGCAGGUUAAGACCACGCUGUUCUGACGGUACCCAAAGAAUAAGCACCGGCUAACUUCGUG
rnacentral:rRNA from 1 species